rnacentral:rRNA from 1 species
AGAGUUUGAUCAUGGCUCAGGACGAACGCUGGCGGCGCGCUUAAUACAUGCAAGUCGAACGAGAAGCCAGAGCUUGCUCUGGUGGAAAGUGGCGAACGGGUGAGUAACACGUGAGAAACCUGCCCCAAAGAUUGGGAUAAGCCUUGGAAACGAGGUCUAAUACCAAAUACCUUCCUUUUAACACAUGUUAAAAAGAAGAAAUGCUCCGGCGCUUUGGGAUGGUCUCGCGAUCUAUCAGCUUGUUGGUGAGGUAACGGCUCACCAAGGCAUCGACGGAUAGCUGGUCUGAGAGGAUGUCCAGCCACAUUGGAACUGAGACACGGUCCAAACUCCUACGGGAGGCAGCAGUAGGGAAUCUUGCACAAUGAGGGAAACCUUGAUGCAGCGACGCCGCGUGCGGGACGAAGGCCCUAGGGUUGUAAACCGCUUUCAGUAGGGACGAAAGUGACGGUACCUACAGAAGAAGCCCCGGCCAACUAUGUG